GGGAGGUUGGCGAUGGACGUACCACUCGCCAACCGGGUCAGGUCCGGAAGGAAGCAGCCCUAACGAGCUUCGGUUCGGGUCAACGACCAGCCUCCUGCU
rnacentral:SRP_RNA from 1 species